rnacentral:rRNA from 1 species
GACGAACGCUGGCGGCGUGCUUAACACAUGCAAGUCGAACGGAAAGGCCCUGCUUUUGUUGGGUGCUCGUUUGCCGAAGGGGGGUGUAACACGUGAGUAACACCCACUUGUCUUAGUGAGAACAUCUCGAAACUGGGGCGCAAAUCCGGUAUGAGAUCCUGCUGCACAUGGGUCAUUGGAGAGAGUCGGUGGUGCGGUCUCUACUAGAUGGAUCCGCGCCGCAUUGGCUAGUUGGUAAGGUAACGGCUUACCAAGGCAACGAUGCGUAGCCGACCUGAGAGGGUGAUCGGCCACACUGGAACUGAGACACGGUCCAGACUCCUACGGGAGGCAGCAGUAGGGAAUCUUCCGCAAUGGGCGAAAGCCUGACGGAGCAACGCCGCGUGAGUGAUGAAGGUCUUCGGAUCGUAAAACUCUGUUAUUAGGGAAGAACAAAUGUGUAAGUAACUAUGCACGUCUUGACGGUACCUAAUCAGAAAGCCACGGCUAACUACGUG